UAUGUUAUGCUCAUUGGACAGCC
rnacentral:siRNA from 1 species